GUGACAUUCGUGUGCCUGACUUAUAUUCCAAUCUAAGCAAUAGCUGAGAUUUCGAGAAGCUUCUCUUCCAAGCUUUCUUUUUCAGCAACUUUUUCCUGUUUCGCUUGGUCUUAAAAUGGGUAUGAGUAUCUGCUUCUGCUUCUGCUUCUCUCUCCAUGGGAAGAGUCUCUGAAACUUUUACUCUUCAUGAUGAUUCGGAAGAAAGUGGAAAAUGGGAA
rnacentral:lncRNA from 1 species